GAUAAGGGAUGAGUCAGAUGAAACCGCAGUCUCUGGGGCAAAAAGGGAGUUUCAGCCACGUUUUCAAUAAUGGAGUGUCUCUGAAUUGGAGCUUCUUUAUGAGAGACUGCUGUAUUUGGAAGCCUUUGGCUUUCUGAAGCCAACAGAUGGUGUGGGAAUGGACAGGCAGCUAAAGGAUGGCGACAUCCGUGGUUUCAAAUAAGUCUGUUCUUAUAGGUCUAACAUCCCCUCAGUGGACAUUCUUCAUGUAUAUAUUGAAGGAGGACAGAAACAACAAGACAUCAGAAAGCUCCGGCAAGUGCAAGAGAUUUAAGAGCCUCCAAAUUAUGACAUAAACAAGAUUGAGAACAUUUCUGGAACAUAGAUUGCUGUCCCUUGUCAAAAGAUGCAAGGCUGGACCCUCCAACUACUUGCAUUUAUAUAGCAUCUUUAACAUAGCAUAAUGUCCCAAAGCACUUCACAAGUGCAUUAUUGACAAAAGCUAACACUGGGUCACAGAAAGAGUUACCAUAGUAGAUGCCCAAAGAUUAGUCAGAUGUCCAUUUUAAACAGCAUUUCAAAGGAGAACAGAGGUAUAGAAGGAAAAUAGUGUGAAAACAUCAGAAAAAGAGUAACAAAUUCUUCACUUUGCUAAAUAUAUAGGCUGUUAAUUAGAUUACUCUGUCACAGAACUAGGGUCUGUUAACACAUUCUUCACUAGUUGCAGGACCUUUUUGUUUCCAAUUAUUCCUCAAUAAACUAAGCCCGGCUGUCCCCAGUAUACAUCUAAUCCUGUCACAGUUACUGCCCAUUCAUAACAUUAACCCAGAUGCCAGCGCAAUCCCUUCCUGAAUACAGAUUUUAUCCAUUAAAUCUCAAACCAUCUUUCCUCAGAACACAGUUGCUCCUCAAUCCCUGAAGAAAAACAAACCAAAUCUUGGGACUAGGGAACACAACCAGCAUUGUUCAUUCAUGAAAUGUAAAUAAUUUACCUUAAAUGGCCUGUAAACUAUGGGAAUUCCUUGUUAAGUCUUGUUCAUUACUCAUCCAAAGACUUCAAUACAAAUUAAAAUCAACUCAAUUACCA